rnacentral:piRNA from 1 species
UGUCAGCGAUGUCCAUGCAGGGUCACUCC